rnacentral:rRNA from 1 species
CUUGUUUAAAUAUAAGAGGUCCAGCCUGCCCAGUGAUAAUUUAUUCAACGGCCGCGUAAUUUAAAGCGCGCAAAGGUAGCGUAAUCACUUGUUCUUUAAAUGAGGACUCGAAUCAACGGCAUCACGAGGGCUAUACUGUCUCCUUCCCCCAAUCAGUGAAACUAAUCCCCCUGUGAAAAAGCAGGGAUAUUCCUAUAAGACGAGAAGACCCCAUGGAGCUUUAAACAUAACAGCAUCUUUAAAAUUUCGUAUACCCACCCUAUUAACAUGAAAGCAUUGUGCGUUAGUUUUAGGUUGGGGCGACCGCGGAGUAUAAAAAAACCUCCAUAACGAAAGGGAAUAAGCCCUUAUUUAAGAAAAACAUUUCUACAAAUUAUUAAUAUAACGUUUAAUGACCCGAUUAUCGAUUAACGAACCA